rnacentral:ncRNA from 1 species
CAAAGGUUUGGUCCUGACUUUUCUAUCAGCUGAGGCCAAAUUUACACAUGCAAGUCUCCGCAAGCCCGUGAGGAUGCCCCACAGUUUUCUGCCCGAAAACAAGGAGCUGGUAUCAGGCACAAUACUAUUUAGCCCAUUACACCUUGCUUUGCCACACCCCCAAGGGAAUUCAGCAGUGAUAAACAUUAAGCCAUAAGUGUAAGCUUGACUUAGUUAAGGCCUAAAGAGUCGGUAAAACUCGUGCCAGCCACCGCGGUUAUACGAGAGACUCAAGUUGAUAGCCAUCGGCGUAAAGCGUGAUUAAGGUCUCAUAACACUAAAGCCGAACGCUUCCAAGACUGUUAUACGUAUUCGAAAGCAUGAAGCCCUAUUACGAAAGUAGCUUUAAUUUAACCUGAUCUCACGAAAGCUGUGAAACAAACUGGGAUUAGAUACCCCACUAUGCACAGCCAUAAACCUUGAUAAAAAUCCACUUUUUUAUCCGCCAGGGGACUACGAGCACUAGCUUAAAACCCAAAGGACUUGGCGGUGCUUUAGACCCACCUAGAGGAGCCUGUUCUAUAACCGAUAACCCCCGUUAAACCUCACCCCUUCUUGCUAUUUCCGCCUAUAUACCGCCGUCGUCAGCCUACUCCGUGAGGGAUGAAGAGUAAACGAAAUUGGUACCACCCAAAACGCCAGGUCGAGGUGUAGCGUAUGAAGGGGGAAGAAAUGGGCUACAUUUCCUAAACAGGAAAUUACGGACUGUACAAUGAAAAAGUACACAAAGGAGGAUUUAGCAGUAAGUAGAAAAUAGAGUGUUCUACUGAAGCUGGCCCUGAAGCGCGCACACACCGCCCGUCACUCUCCCCGAGCCUCUUAACUUCCAUUUAUAAUUAAUUUACCCUAGCAAAGGGGAGGCAAGUCGUAACAUGGUAAGUGUACCGGAAGGUGCACUUGGAAAAAA